UGGUUUGUCUCCCCCCAAUCUCCAUCAUCUGGCUCUUCUGCUGGAUGAGAUGAUUAGUCCUCAUGGAUCGAAUGCCUUCAAGUUUGUUUCAAAUUGAAUUGUUCUUGGUCCUUACCGCUACAAGACACUGAUUCGAAGUGACGAAGUUGCAUGCAAUCUCAGCUCUCUCUCGAUCCUUCUUCCUCACACCAGGUUAUGUGAACAGAAUUAAAUUUCAUCUCAUGGAGGGAAGGGUGGAGGUUAGAGAAGUACAAAAAUUAGAAGGCAACCAACAUUGUUUUUUCUUUAUGUUUCUCAUAAAUGCUUACUACUAUCAGAUUUUAUUGAAUUUCCUUGUACAUCUGACAUUUGUAUCAGUCUUAAAUUUUAUAUUCUUAUUUACACCAAAUAGAGAAUUACUGCCUUAAGUAGAUCUUUCCAGCUUUUGAGGCCUAUUGUUAACUAACUAAUAUCACUGUAUCGGGGUGAUGAGGUGAAUAUAAUUGUCAAAGUCAAAGGCUAAACCGCUCCAUGGAAAGCUCUCAGAAGGGAAAUAUAAUCAUGAGGAUAUCAUCUUGUCCUUGAUUCAUCAUCACUCUAUUUGAACUUUUUAAGGGGUUAUAAUCUGAAACAAAAAGCUGCAAGAGCUUAUGAACGAGGAGACAAAAAAAAAAGUUGUCCACUCAAUGAGGAGUAAGCUAUGGACUUUGUAAAUUGUACUUGCAGUUCAGUGAUAGAAGGGGAGAGAUGAGAAGCAAUUUCUGGUUUCAUAUGAAAGAAGACAAUAGCCAACUUUGGAGUCUUCUAGUCUAGGAGGAUUUAUAUUUAUAUAAUAUUCAAAAUAAUUAAGUUUUCCAUGAUAAUUUUUUUUUAAAUGAAAUAU